rnacentral:rRNA from 1 species
ACGAACGCUGGCGGCGUGCUUCACACAUGCAAGUCGAACGGAAAGGCCUCUUUCGGGGGGUACUCGAGUGGCGAACGGGUGAGUAACACGUGAGUAACCUGCCCUUGACUUUGGGAUAACUUCAGGAAACUGGGGCUAAUACCGGAUAGGAGCUCCUGCUGCAUGGUGGGGGUUGGAAAGUUUCGGCGGUUGGGGAUGGACUCGCGGCUUAUCAGCUUGUUGGUGGGGUAGUGGCUUACCAAGGCUUUGACGGGUAGCCGGCCUGAGAGGGUGACCGGCCACAUUGGGACUGAGAUACGGCCCAGACUCCUACGGGAGGCAGCAGUGGGGAAUAUUGCACAAUGGGUGGAAGCCUGAUGCAGCAACGCCGUGUGCGGGAUGACGGCCUUCGGGUUGUAAACCGCUUUCGCCUGUGACGAAGCGUGAGUGACGGUAAUGGGUAAAGAAGCACCGGCUAACUACGUG